rnacentral:lncRNA from 1 species
AUGGACUGCCAGGGUGCUGGGUGCUCCGCUGGAGAAAGAGGCGGGCCGGGAGCAUCGCAAGUGCCAGCUGGGGCUGCAGUGGGUGAGCCUGUGGCUGUUUGGAGGAGGCGCCCCCGGCCCGGCUGCACAGAAGGCAGUGGACUGGAUCCGAGACAGGGAAUGGGAAGGCGGCUGGGGUCAGGCCACGGUAAGUGCGUUAAUUACCCGUUACAGCCCCCCAACGUAGUGCGCUGGAGCCAAACUUCAUUCUUUCUCUUGAGUCCGUCAGGGCGGCCCUGCGCGGGGGCCGGUUGGUGCCGGCUGUCCGGGGGCCGGGUGGUGCUGGCUGUCCCUGGGGCUUUGGAGCCUAAGCUGAGUGAGGCAGGAGCCGGGGUGGGGGGUGUUGCUUCAGCAAGGGUGAGACGCUCUGUGACAUGGGUGAGACGCGCCGGGCCAGUUGGAUCACAUUACGGCUGUACUGGACAACGUAUACCUCCGCUCCACAAUUAUGCUCCUGCUGUAAGCAACAGGAGACUGCACAAAACACAGGCGACAGCGGAUGCCUGGGAGCAGCGCUCAGACACAGCAAGCCCCGCCCUGGGCAGCUUCGCCCCCCCCAUCCCCCAACUCCCCCAGCCCCCUCGUCCCUGGGCGAAGCAGUACCCGGGGCCCCGCAGAGCAAAGGAGACAGAGAUGGGGCCAGGGAGGCCGAGGCAGCUGGAACUGGAGAAAGAAUUCCGGCCAUCUUUUUUUUUUUUUUUUUUUUUUAAAGAUUUAUUUCUUUAUUUGAAAAGCAGAGUGACAGAGAGGGAGAGAGACAGACAGGCACAUAGAGAGACAGACCAAGGUCUUUCAUCCACUGGGUCACUCCCCAGAUGGCCGCAAUGCCCAGGGCUGGGCCAGGCCGAAGCCAGGAGCCAGGAGCUCCUUCUGGGCCUCCCACAUGGUGCAGGGGCCCAAGCACUUGGGCCAUCUUCCCCUGCUUUCCCAGGGAGCUGGAUGGGAAGUGGAGCAGCCGGGACUCGAACCGCUACUGUGACGUGA